CCCCUCAUGGCGUAGUGGUAACGCGCCCCAACUAGAGAUCGGGGAGUCGUGAGUUCGAUUCUCACUGAGAAGA
rfam:Aedes aegypti strain Liverpool supercont1.69 genomic scaffold, whole genome shotgun sequence.